rnacentral:rRNA from 1 species
GAAUGGCUCAUUAUAUCAGUUAUAGUUUAUUAGAAAAAAUGUACUACUUGGAUAACCGUAGUAAUUCUAGGGCUAAUACAUGAAUGAAUCCUCGACUUUGAAGAGGUGUGUUUAUUAGUAUGAAAACCAUAUGCUUCGGCAUGAUAGUGAGUAAUAAUAACCUUUCGUAUCGUAUGUUGACAUAACGAUAGUUCUUUCAAGUUUCUGCCCUAUCAGCUUUCGAUGGUAGUGUAUUGGACUACCAUGGCAGUAACGGGUAACGAAGAAUUUGGGUUCGAUUUCGGAGAGGGAGCCUGAGAGAUGGCUACCACAUCCAAGGAAGGCAGCAGGCGCGUAAAUUACCCAAUCCUGACAGAGGGAGGUAGUGACAAUAAAUCACAAUGCGGGACUAUUUAGUUUUGCAAUUGGAUUGAGAACAAUGUACAAGAGUUAUCGAUAAACAAUUGGAGGGCAAGUCUGGUGCCAGCAGCCGCGGU